CCCUCCUCUCUCUCCUCCUGCUCACAUCUCUCCUCCACAUACGACGCCCAUCACACCGGCCGUCAUGUCCUCCUCCUCGAUCGCCGCCUCCACCACGCGGAUCCGGCCUCAAUCGCAUCCCCCUCGACUGUCUCUUCCAGCGCACGUCUAGGUGCAUGGAGCCCGGAUGCCCUCCCUAGACUGCCAUCAAGAUCAGCACCACAGAUGCGUGGCUCGAGGCAUGGGGGCCUGAAUCCGGGCAUAGGUGUCCGAGAUUUGGGCAUGGUCGCCCGGAUCCGAUCUCCUCGCUUGAUCUUCCUUUUUUCCCGAUUUUGACAAAGACUCGAUUCAUACGGAACCAGCUUCUAAGAUCCAGUUGAAGUUGCUUGCUGAAGAAAUGCAGGCAAUAAACAAAUUUACGUUUCUUAACUGAAACCUCGUGGUUCCCUUAGCUAUCAGAUCUGGAGUUGAUCAGAUGGAUCUUUCUCAAACCAAAUAUGUCUGUAGCUUUCAGAUUGGUGGCUCUCUUCAGACAUUUAUAUUUUUAAGACGUUUCCAUGAUUUGAGGCUAUACCACACAGCCUUUAUAUAGAUUUAUUUUUACAAAGUAUGGACCUUUUAAGUGAGAAAAAAAAAAUGUUGUUUUCCAGAUUAUAUGGAGCCUGAUUGGUAGUAAACACAUGUAUUUCAUUGUUUAUUUUCAGAUAUCUCUUUCUACAUUCGCCUGCUCCCCUUGCUUUGAUAGCAGAACAAUUGCAAGCCCAAUAGGUGCUAAUACAUUGUUCGAUAUUCAGGUUAUCAAUUGCUUCAGUGGUCUCUACGUAUUUCAAUAGUUGGACGCUUGGGCCACAGUUUUACGAUCCUUUUACAACCAUUUCUUCUGAUUUUGGUUGUUAAACAAAUGUUGCUGGACUAUGCUGCUGUUGCCAUGAGUGAUCGGCGUGCAAAUGGUCAUCGCAGUGUCACUCCUUCUGCUCCAUGAUAUUUGCCUUCGCUUUGGCGGCGCAUCGACGGCUUGGUGAAUUCGUGUUACGGUGAUUCCACACCAGCUGUUGUUGAUCCUUUUUUUCGUGUCAUCUGUUGAUCAUGUUGGGGUGUCUUCUGCUGUUAAUUCUUCUACAGAUAUUGAUGCUCGAAGGUAGGGUUCCCCAGUGAUAUUACCUACUUAGCUCAUUCCAAUGAAGUCCAUGAUUUUUUUAUCUGACCUGCAACAUCAUAAUUACGCACUACUCUUGUGGUGGUGAAGUUACUCUUCGAAUUUCUCUAAAUACGCUCUUAGAAGAUGGUUAGAAUUGUAUUCUCAAAUUUCGGUAAGAACUCUCACUUUUUAUUUUUGUUUUGGGUGAUAGAAUUAAUAAACUUUCAGAUUCGUGCAGUAAUGUAUUCUUGGGUCUUAGUUACAUUUUACCUAUUAUUUCUAUUGAAAAUACGAGAUUGCAUGUCAAACAUGCUAGGUGAGUUCAUUUGCAUUAUUUUUUUUAGCUCUCUGGCUCUAAUUUCUCAUAUGUAGCAAUAAUUUUUUUUUGAUAUAUAAGACGAGGCAUGCUCUUGCUUUUCAGGUUUUCAAUGUAUUAUCCAACCAACAUCAGAUACUUUGCGGAGCUCCAAGAGACGGUUCCCGUCCUGCACUACAAUUGUUUAUCGCAUAUAGCAAACAUAAUUUAUGGUUGCCAGUGAAUCCAGAUAACUCUGCUUUGCCAUAUUAAUUUUACACUCCACAAUUAUUUGGUUAUUUGAACUACGGAUUUGAAGGGCAAAUUUCUGUAGCAACUUCAUUUAAUUCAAAUAAAGGGCUUAUCAAAACAAGCAGUUAAAUCACACAAGGUUAACCUUAACGCUUGACAGUAGCAUCUCUCUUGAGGCGUGUCAAGAAAGGGCUUAAAGAUGCUUGUAAUAGUUAUUUUGGAUACGUGGAUCUGGUCCUUGCGACAUUGUAUUUUUUAAUUUGCACCUCCAAUUUAUAAUAUUGCUGUUUUAAUUUUCAGAUCUUCGCAAAGACGAUAUAUACAUGUGAGUUUUGUUUUAUCCUCAACAGACUAGCAACAUCGCUGUUUGGCAACAUGCCACUACUGGCUAAUUUGAAAUAUGGCUUCAGAAUUUAGACAAUUAGAAGCAAAAGGUAUGUUGCAGUACCGGAUAUCAUGCUCAAUCUCUACUGCAUUCUGUUAUCAUGUGCUGGUGUUUUUCAUAGCAAUAAGGUUUGAUAUUAUUAUCUCUGGAGUACAACUAUAGUUUAGAUCGCGUUACUACUACGAUAUGUAUGAUUUCUGUUACAUGCUAAUUCUCUGUAGUGGCAUAUUCAAUAGUUUCUUUUCUCUGCUUUGCGUUGGUCUAUGUAGAAGCCUAUCACUUAUCUUAUCUAUCUAUGUAAAACUUCUUAUCGUUGUAACAAGCUCACUUAAUAACAUGCCAUGGUCUAUCUGUAUUUUUUUUGCUUUGCAUUUUCAAAUUCUAGCUUAUUCAUAUGAGCACACAAAACAAAACUCAGCAACAUCAAAUUAAGAACAUCACAAUUACAUUUUUCAACUCAACAAGAUGAAUUCAUAGCUGAUUGAUACAAUCAGCUAUAACAUGCAAAGGAAAUUUCGCAUUUAGGAACUCAGGAAAGAGAAGCAUACCAGCUGGUAGCAGAUCAGCUCGAUUCCCCAUCUCCAGCUCCCCUUCUUCGGGAACUCACUACUUGGCAGCAAACCAUUUCACCGGAGAUGGCCAGCUUCUCCUACUGUCGUAUACUCCUCCACCACCAUCGCUAGCACUGCCACUCUCACUUCUGCUGCUGCCUUUGCCUUGCGGAUGGCGCCAUGGAGUACCUCCUCCCCUCAACCUUCAACUAUACCGCCGCUCGCUUUCCGGGAUCGCUCCUCCGCCGUCCCGUCCCUAAUCAGCUCGUCGAGUCUCACCAAGAAAAAGAUCGAUUACAGCAGUACAGACGGGACUAUGGCUGGCUCCCGUAGUCAGUCCCCCGAGACCACAUCUGGCUCGAGUUCACCGACGUCAAAGUGACAGAAAGUGGCGGAGAACAAGGCGGCGGCAUGAUACCAGGCCGGUGCCGGCGGACGACAGUAAUCUGAUCCUCCCAAUCAGGUGCAGGUAGUUAUAUAGUCCUCCUGAGUUGGUGCCAAUCAAAGUGGCGAGAGGAGAAGAGACCGCCACGUCACACUUCAGGGCAGGGCAAAAAAAAUCAUUUUCAUGCGCUUGCUACUCGAGUUUCAUGGUGCGCGAGAGCACAUGAAUUACCUGUGGCCACAUGUCACCCGCUUGCCGUUGCCACCAUGGCCGAGCUCGGCUCUGGCAUGAGUGGGGCGACGCAUCGACAGCCAUACACGUGGAACUUGCAAUAGGUCUCGAUGCCGCCCCUAUCGCCGCAGGCCCGGAACCGUGAAGGCACUGUUCAAGUAGAUCUCGUCGUAGAGCCGGCCGCUGGACCUGAAUUUUUGGGUCUAUUUUUUCUACUGUGGAAGAACUGCGCACGACCGCUGAAGUAGCUACCUCUAAUUCAAUUAUGGUAUCCGCUGUAGCAGCUACCUCUAAUUCAACUAUUGAAUUUGUUCUGCUAAUGAAUGUUGUGUUGUUCAUAGUUCUCCAGUAGGUAGUGAAAGGUGAAGUUGGCCAGCCACCGUGGGAGUCUCCCGGUUAGCCUGUUGGAGUAGCGGUUGAGGAUGGAAAACCAGUCGCCCACAUUGUCUGAUGUGUCAGCGGGAUCUCUCCAGAGUGGUCAUUGUUGCCGAGGUGCUGUAGCGGGAUGCAGCAUGGAGAUUUUGGCGGAGACUUCUGUUUGCAACGUGUGACGGAAAAAGAAAAGAAGAGGAAUAGACACAUCGAGCCUUGCCUGUGGGCAUCCUCUACCUAGAUGAAGCUGGUGUAACUUGAACAGAUUGCUUAUGCGAUGCCUGAGGAUAUGGAAAAGAUAUGUGGUGGAGAAAAAGAAGAGUGCUUGUACUUCUUCUUGAUCUUUUUUCCCUUCCGGUGAAAUAACCAUGGCAUGCUUCUACGUGAUUUUCACUGAAAUAUUUAAAACGCA